rnacentral:rRNA from 1 species
GAUCAUGGCUCAGGAUGAACGCUAGCGACAGGCUUAACACAUGCAAGUCGAGGGGCAGCGAGGGAGUGGCAACACUUCUGUCGGCGACCGGCGCACGGGUGAGUAACGCGUAUGCAACCUGCCCUUCACAGGGGGAUAACCGGGAGAAACUUCCGACUAAUACCGCAUACGUCCUUUGGGGGCAUCCCCGGGGGAUGAAAGAAUUAUCGGUGAAGGAUGGGCAUGCGUGAUAUUAGGUAGUUGGCGGGG